UCUCUCUCUCUCUCUCUCUCUCUCUCUCUCUCGCUUGCUCGCUCGUGUGCCCUUGCUUUAUACUCAAAUGCUGGCCAAAGAAUUCUUAGACUAUUGAUUGAAAGCAUCGAGUCCUCUCUCUCUGUCUGUAUCUCUCUUGUGCUCUUCGUACUGAAAUGCUGGCCAAAAAAUUCUGAGUAGUCUGUUGAUUGAAAGCAUUGAGUCCUUCCACAAAAUCUUCUCAACUUUCUGCUUUAUAUCUAACUCAAUUUCAUGGAAGAAAGGCUCAAAUGAUGAUGAACUUUGAAACCACUCCAUAUGACAGUCAGGUACAUCAUCUGGUCUUGUCUAAGGAUAUGGCUGCCAAGAUUGGAAAAAGUUAUGUGCACAAUUUUUCUUUUGUUUAGUCUUUAUUUUUCCUUUGGCCUUUCUUAGAGAAUGGUUUUUUUUUUCUGUGUUUCUUUUCCUUACAGCAGGCAGAAGGAAAAUGACAAACAUAAACUAGGAGGUAUGAAUUUUUCCAUAUUUGAUUAUUCUUGUAUUCUACUAUAUGUUUGUGAUACAUAUGACAGCAACAGUGAUUAUGCAUGCGCACAGAAUCGAAUUAUUGUUGUUUUAGUCCUUCUCAUGUGUUGAUGUACUAACGCAUACCCUAAGCCACGGAUAUCAUUUGCCACCUUACACAAAAGAAACCAAACCUUGAUUGUCUUGAGCAGAAUGGUUAUCCUAAAUGCACUUGGGAAAAUGUCUAGAAAGUUCUGAUAUCUAUAUGUUUUGAGUCUCAGAAAUCACUUUUCAUAUCUUUAUGUUUAAAAAUAGGGUCCUAUGUAAAAUUAGGUGCUUCCAUUGUAAAACUUUACUGGAAACUAGCAUUAUCAUUGUGCAUGUUAUUGAAAGAGAAUGGUCAAGUCCAUUUAGUAGGAAUUUUCUUGCAAAUAUAAACCAACUCAAAGUUACCUUUGCAGCUGUUCCGUUGCGAGUGAAGGAAAGAUGAGAAGAGGGUUACGAAAGGUUCACUUCAUCCGCUCAAGCUUGGGUUGCAAACAGA
rnacentral:lncRNA from 1 species